rnacentral:rRNA from 1 species
GAUGAACGCUGGCGGCGUGCCUAAUACAUGCAAGUCGAGCGAACAGACGAGGAGCUUGCUCCUCUGACGUUAGCGGCGGACGGGUGAGUAACACGUGGAUAACCUACCUAUAAGACUGGGAUAACUUCGGGAAACCGGAGCUAAUACCGGAUAAUAUAUUGAACCGCAUGGUUCAAUAGUGAAAGACGGUUUUGCUGUCACUUAUAGAUGGAUCCGCGCCGCAUUAGCUAGUUGGUAAGGUAACGGCUUACCAAGGCAACGAUGCGUAGCCGACCUGAGAGGGUGAGCGGCCGCACGGGGAGUGGGGCAGGGUCCAGGCGGCUGGGGGAGGCAGCAGUGGGGAGUGUGCCGCAAGGGGCGAGGGGCUGGGGGGGGGAGGGGGCGUGGGUGAGGAGGGGGGGCGGAGCGUAAAACUCUGUUAUUAGGGAAGAACAAAUGUGUAAGUAACUAUGCACGUCUUGAUGGUACCUAAUCAGAAAGCCACGGCUAACUACGUG